rnacentral:rRNA from 1 species
GAUGAACGCUGGCGGCGUGCCUAACACAUGCAAGUCGAGCGAGAUAAAUGUGAGUGGAGACUUCGGUCAAAGCAAUCAUUUUGAAAGCGGCGGACGGGUGAGUAACGCGUGAGCAAUCUGCCCCAUACAAAGGGAUACCCACUGGAAACGGUGAUUAAUACCUUAUAAGACCACGAAGUCGCCUGGCGUAGUGGCCAAAGAUUUAUCGGUAUGGGAUGAGCUCGCGUCUGAUUAGCUAGUUGGUGAGGUAAUGGCUCACCAAGGCGACGAUCAGUAGCCGACCUGAGAGGGUGGACGGCCACACUGGAACUGAGACACGGUCCAGACUCCUACGGGAGGCAGCAGUGGGGAAUAUUGCACAAUGGGCGCAAGCCUGAUGCAGCAACGCCGCGUGAAUGAUGAAGGCCUUCGGGUCGUAAAGUUCUGUCCUAAGGGAAGAAUACAGUGACGGUACCUUAGGAGGAAGCCCCGGCUAACUACGUGCCAGCCGCCGCGGUAA